UGUGGCCUGUGUGCAGGUGGUGCAUGGCUGUCGUCAGCUCGUGUCGUGAGAUGUUGGGUUAAGUCCCGCAACGAGCGCAACCCUUGUCUCAUGUUGCCAGCGGGUAAUGCCGGGGACUCGUGAGAGACUGCCGGGGUCAACUCGGAGGAAGGUGGGGAUGACGUCAAGUCAUCAUGCCCCUUAUGUCCAGGGCUUCACACAUGCUACAAUGGCCGGUACAAAGGGCUGCGAAGCCGUGAGGUGGAGCGAAUCCCUGCAAAGCCGGUCUCAGUUCGGAUCGGGGUCUGCAACUCGACCCCGUGAAGUCGGAGUCGCUAGUAAUCGCAGAUCAGCAACGCUGCGGUGAAUACGUUCCCGGGCCUUGUACACACC
rnacentral:rRNA from 1 species